CGUAGUCGAUGGGAAACAGGUUAAUAUUCCUGUACUUGUAUUUAUUGCGAUGGAGGGACGGAGUAGGCUAGGCCAGCGCGGCGAUGGUUGUCCGCGUUUAAGCAUGUAGGCUGGGGAUUUAGGUAAAUCCGGAUCCCUAAGGCUGAGACGUUAUGACGAACGGAUCCUAUGUGAUCCGGAAGUGGUUGAUGCCAUGCUUCCAGGAAAAGCUUCUAAGCUUCAGAUAAAUACGAACCGUACCCCAAACCGACACA
rnacentral:rRNA from 14 species